rnacentral:rRNA from 1 species
UACCGAGAACAACGUUUUUUCUUUUGUAAACGUUAAGAAAGAAAGUUCGUAACAAGGUCAACCUGUCGACACGUGCCUGUCCGAGAGUUCGUGUUGUCUGGCUCGCUCGGCUCUACCGUAGGCGAACCGGCGGCACCCAGUAGGAACCAUCGCACGGCGCCCACCGCCGGCUGGAGAGGGAGCGCGAGGGCCGGGCCGCGGGAGAGCGCACCGCGAGGAGCGGUAGGGGGGCGCGCAGAAGGGCCCGGAGAGGAUCACGGACGAGUGGACGCUCAGAGACCACCCAGCGUGAGCCCCUCUGAGACCACCCAGCCGGAGAGGACCAGGGACGAGUGGACGCUGUGGAAGCUGCUGCGCGGCCACGACUCGCAGCAGGUCGGUGGCGGCCCGUUCCGCGAGUUCUCGUUAGUCCAAGUCCCGGAGCCUCCGAACCCCCAACGAGCUGUUCAUGGCGACGCACCCACAGUCGCGGCCGUCCGAUGCCAAGAACCUGUAUACAUGUCCUUGGCAUCGUCGCCGCGGCGACGUGUCUAGUCGCACACCUGCUGCGAGCCGCCAGGCCUGAGGCGCCUCACCUGCGACCUCGUGCUCCGGUGGAAACGCCUUUAGACGUUCUAGGGGCACGAACGCGAGUCGGUACUCGGAUGACAAGUGAGACGAGGCGAGGUGGCCUACCUCGACGCCUAUUGGCUUAGCCAGGUAUGAUGUAUGUAACUACCCUGCAGGUGAUUAGUACGUGGUCAGGUAGAGAUGGCUCCCCGUCAGGGGAACCCUGACUCUGUGUUGGGUGUCCUUGUAGAGAGGGGGGUUCGACGGGUUAGGUCAUUCCGUGUCGUUGGGUGUUCUUCGCGAGAGGUCCUGCUAGGUCGUAGAAGGAACUCGUGUAGGCUCAGGUCGAGUCUGAAGUUGUUGGACUUGAGUCCACACGAGUUGAACAGACGUUGUUGGAAUUGGACACGAGCUAGAUCAUCCUAGGGACACGAACGUGAGUCGGUACUCGGAUGAACCACAACAACGGCUUCGAGCCGACUGCGGCAGCCGUGUUGUGGUGAUUUCAACAACCAGUUGUCCAACUCUACGCAGUAGUUACCACUAUCGGGUAACUACAGCGGACCUUCCUGAGGUAGCUUCCUCAACACACUCUCUAGCUCUUUAACCUCGAGCCACGUCCGUAUAUCGCAUCGUGGUCCCUUCCGUGGUCACUCCAACAAGGUUCUCUCUAGCUCCUCGCAGUAUGAGGACUCCAACGAGUGGCUACGGCCGUACGACCACUUAACAGUUCUCCUCUGACGGUUACCGCACUUCCUUCUCGACGUCGUUGACGUAGAAAAUCGGGAUACGAACUAGGUGGGAUAACCGAGUCUUGACUUGAGUCGUGACGUUCACGAAGUAUCCUAAUCCCGACUGUGGCACCGUCAUUAACUACGUUUGAAGUGGUACUCUGGAACAGUAGCGGACUGCGGAAGGAGGUAUCAGCUACCUCACGAGUAGUCUCCCCUUUGGCUCGUAGGAAAUGUAGUCCGUCCACUCCUCCUAGAAGUGAACAGGCGAGAACCUCCGGAGUUGUCACCCAGUUUCCCAAAGACGAAACACCUUACGCCAUCGUCAUGAGAUAGUGGCGGGUUCUUUGGUUUUUACUCGAUC